GAUGAAGAACGCAGCGAAAUGCGAAAAGUAAUGUGAAUUGCAGAAUUCAGUGAACCAUCGAAUCUUUGAACGCACAUUGCGCCCGCUGGAACUCCGGCGGGCACGCCUGUCCGAGCGUCAUUUCAACCCUCAGGCCCCCUUUCGCGGGCGGGCCUGGUGUUGGGGCCCGGCCGCUACCCUGCGGCCGUCCCCUAAAUUCAGUGGCGGCCUCGCCGUGAUCCCUUGCGUAGUAAUGCACCUCGCACCGGAGAGCGCCGUGGCCACGCCGUAAAACCCCCAAUUUUCAAUGGUUGACCUCGGAUCAGGUGGGAAUACCCGCUGAACUUAAGCAUAUCAAUAAGCGGAGGA
rnacentral:misc_RNA from 1 species